AAUAAAUCUUAUAAAUAUAAUACUUGAGUUAUUGUAUAUUGCUUUUAAUUCUCACAGCUAAGAAGGGAUAAGCCACUUCCCUCACCCAUCUGCUUCAGCCAGAAUUCCUUGCUGCUGCCUCUGGCGUUGCUGCUGCCAAUCCAGCCUUUGGCUGUUAACUCUAAGUCGCCUGCUUCUGGUGCUUCUGUUCCUGAUCCUCCUCCUGCUGCUGCUGUUUCUGUUGCUUAUUGCCGCUGCAUCUUUAGAACACACAAGCUGGGAAUCGCUCUCCCAGCAGUUGGUAAAUUGCCUUGCCAAGAGCUGGGUGCUUGCUCACUGCUUGCCUUGGAAGCCCAGGUUUAGGAGAGUAAUUAAGGUGGAGGGACAAAGAAGUAACAAAGGAAGAAAUGAGGAAGAUAAGGAAGUAACUUUUCAUUCCUCAUAACAGAGAUGUCUCAGAAGAAUAUAUAAAGAUGUAAGUGGGGUAGAAUGGGUAUCUCAUGACUAUUACCCAAAAUUUGGCAAAAGAAGGUUGAAAUACACACACAGAGAAUUGUAAUGGUUGAAAAGGCACCUUUAAAGAUUGUUAUAAUAUUAAUUUAUGGUCGCAAAGGAAUUUACUUAUGAAAUUCCUAAAAUGAAACACUCAAGUCAGAAUGGAGUUUAUGGUGGUUUAAUCACAAUAGGAGUAAGGAAAAAGGAUAGGGAGUGAAGGAGAGAGGAGGAAAGGGAAAAAGGUUAACUCAACCUUCUGGCCAACCCAGAGGGAGAUUAGGCCCUAAGGCCAAGAUAGAAAGGAGAAUCAGUCCUUGACCCACAUGACCGAUCUGAAGGAAAGCUGUCUGCAGGUCUCCUCUCUGCUCCAGUUCCUAGCACGAACUGCCACCUAGCUCUGUCCACAGGAAGUGAGAGAAUUUCCGAGGCUGUUCCCUACCUCACUUCCUGUGCCUCACAAGUGCCAAUGGUGGCUCAAGCUUGGCUUAGGACAGCCCAGGUGGGCAGUCAGUUAUUUCUGAUUUGUCAUUGACUAGCACAUGCCCGUGUAGUGUGGGUGUGCACAAUCCUGGGUGCUAGCCCAAGCAAGAUGGAGAUUUUAAAAUUCACAGAAUUUAGUGUAGAAAUUAUAAGAAUUUAUAAGAAAUAUAAGAUAUUAAAAUCAUCAAGCCAGCAUUUAUACAGUGCCAAUCUAUAUAUGUGCCCAAAACUGUGCUAAGGGUAUUACAAAUAUGAUCUCAUUUGGUCCUCACAACAACCUUGGGAGGUAGGUGCUAUGAUGAACCUUAUUUUAUAAAUGAGAAAACUAAGGCUGAUAAAAGUUAAGAGACUUGCCCAGGGUCCCACACCCAUUAUAUAUCUGAGGUAUAAAUUUUAAAUUAAUAUCCAAUAACUCCAAGUAUUAUAUUUUAUAAAGUUUAUUCAUAAUCACUUGAAGUAGAAAGAAAAUAAACUAAAAGAAAUAGAAGUUCA
rnacentral:lncRNA from 1 species